rnacentral:lncRNA from 10 species
GGAGUGUAAUCCAAAGUGAAAGGGCAAGGGAGGUCUAGCUAGAGGGAGGGUGGCAGGGGAUCGGGGCCUGGUGUGGAAGUCAUGCGUUGCACUCAUGUGUGCAUGGACCCCAGCAGGGUAAGUGUGAGGCCACAGGCGGGACCCCAUGUGCCAUGCUUAGGGGUUCAGACAUUGUCCUGGAGAUGAUGAAGGACCCCUGAGAGUUUUAAGCAGAGUUGGGUGUGAAGAUGGAUCUGAGAGGCCAAGACCGAGCAGGGAGACAAGUCAUGAUGGUCCUGAUCCGAGACGGUGUGGGAGGUGGGAACUGACUUUAAGAUGGUGGAAAUGCAAAGCCAGGUGAUGUUUCUGGGACAGGAUUGACCAAAUCUAGUGACCUACUAGAUAUAGGGAGAAAAAAUAAGGAAAGCAUAGGGGAUCACACUGAGGGUUUGCAUUUGAGAGACUAGAGUCAGGAGGCAAGGCAGGAUGGGGGUGGAGAAGGGGAAUGAUGGGGCUGAAAUUAGACCACAGUGGUGGUGGGAAUGUGGACACUGAGGGAAGAGGAGGCAGUGAGCACACGAGUCUUUCAUGAUGUUUGGUGAUGAAGAGAAGGAGGGAUGUUCUGUAGCUUUAAAGGAUUUUUCAAAAGUAGGAGAAAGAACCUGUUUGUAAGUAGAGGGAAGAUACGGUAGAGAGGGAGAGAUCAUAGGGUGUAGAGAACUGCCAUUUGCUGAGUGGGUGCCGCUUGCAGGCCCGGAGCCAUGCCCUUAACAUGCAUAUCUCAUUUCAGCAGCAUGCCAACCCAUGGGGUAGCUCUACUUAUACCCAUUUUCUGAAUGAAGAAACUGAGGCAGACCGAUGGAUUCACCCAGGGAUGGGACUUGCUGAGCAGUUGAAGCAAAAGAAUAGAGUGACUGGGAAGGGAAGAAAAUGAAGUCAAACGAAAGCUAAUAGAAUGGGGUGGCGGAGUGCGGGGCUUAACGGGCUGAGGGGUGUCUAUAUUCCAGACGUGGGAUUUGGAGUUGUUCUGGCUAAUGUCAAAGACCACACACAAGGACAUGGACGUCAACGGUUCAUUCACAUGAGAUGACAGUUACCCAGGAUGAACCAACUGCAAAAAGCUGUCUGUGGAUGGUAACUGCAGGUGACCUGAAUGCAUGUGCCUCCUCCUUCUUUUUCCGCUUUUUGUCUUUUCCUUAAGCCUCUCUGAACAGUAUCUUCAGAAGUGUCUGUUUCCCACAGAGCAUGGUGUGUCCAAGAAAUACCCCACAUUCCCAUUGCCUUUGCUAUUUAAUGCUGUAGUUGGGAGAGGCAGUCUUGCUUUCUGCUUGCCUGUCUUUUUGGAGCACAUAUGAACUACAAAUAGAUACAGCCCACAUUUUGCCUCAAAGAUAUAUUCUUUGUUUUCUCCAAGUUGCCAAGUUGAACUCUAAGCUGAUGUUUAAUUUAUCUGUGGUAAUGAGGAACGGGGAUAGCCUUGCAUAAUUGGAAUCUGAAGAUAAGCCAAAAGCUUCUUUUAGCCAAAAUUCCUACAUCCUUUCCCACCAACUCUUUAUGCCUGUGUUGCUAACAAAUGGCAAAUUGACUAAUCUGAGUUUCACCAGUUCUUUGUGUGGUGUAUCUGACCUUUCACAAUGGGUUCAUACCAGAGUCCACUUCCAUGGUCCUUCAAGAUGUGGGUGUCUGGUUCUCAGGUAACCAACCAAAACCUUUGUACCUACCACUCAUGUAUAUUUCAGUUGAAGUUAGAAAAGCACCCCCUCAGUCUAUAGCUAACCUCUGGUGAAAUUGAGGAAUGAAUGAAUUGCUAAGCCAUCUAUAAAUAGAAUUCCGGGACAAUUCAUCUGAUGUGAGAGACAACCCUUUGAUAGGUUUCUGAGAAGAUGUGUGAAGCCACUACUCUCAAUUGUUCUUUCAUUUACUUUUUGCUAAUCAAAGCCCCAGACAUAUUCCAAAAUGUGAGAUGUUUUGGAAGAUUAACCAAAACACAAGCUGAAAUUUACCAGGGGCUCUGUAUAAAGUUAUACCCUUAGGCUUUUAUUCUCAAAGCCCUCCCAAGUACAGAAGUGUAGCAUGGGAUGAUGUGACAUAGAAUCGCAGAGUGGGAGGAGCCCACCAUACUUCAAUUCAGUGUAUCCAGAAGGAAAACUAAGGUUCACAGACUUGCUUAGGGGCUUAGUCAAGGGACUAUUUGUUCAGAACCAACAUUCAUACAAAGAGUCUUAAAUUUAAAAGGGGAUUUAUUUCAGAGAAACCUCAUGGAAACCAGUUGAAAGAGGGUUAGUGGGGACUUUCGGGAAGUGAAAAGUCGCUGGUUAAUUUCUCUGUUUCUAUCUCUGUGGGGCCUUGCAGAUUCUUUUCUUUGCUUCCGGGAGCCUUCUUCAUAUCUGCAGUGGAUAUGAGGUGAUAUGGUUUGGCUCUGUUCCCCACCCAAAUCUCAUCUCGAAUUGUAAUCCUACGAUCGCCACGUGUCAAGGGCAGAAACUGGUAGGAGGUGAUUGGAUCGUGGGGGCAGUGUGCUGUUCUCGUGAUAGUGAGUGAGUUCUCACGAGAUCUGAUGAUUUUAUAAAGGGCUCUUCCCCUUUCGCCAUUCACUCUGUCCUGCUGCCUUGUGAAGAAGGUGUCUGCUUCCUCUUCACCUUCUGCCAUGAUUGUCAGUUUCCUGAGGCCUUCCCAGCCAUGCUGAACUGUGAGUCAAUGAAACCUCUUUCCUUUAUAAAUUACCCAGUCUCGGGUAUUUCUUUAGAGCAGUGUGAGAAUGGACUAACACGAGGCUUCGCUGGUCUCUCAUGACCAACCCAAAAGGCAAGGUCAGCUUCCAUGUCUCAAUGGCCUUCCAGUGAGGCCCCUCACAGCUAACUGACCAGGGCAGGGGUCUCCUUGGUCCAGCUGAGAUCAGGGCCUGGCUCCGGCCCAUGCCUGUGGUAAGAGUGGGACUAUCCCUUGUGGAGCUGACAAGGGCUGACUCUCUGUAAGGGUGGCUAAGGCACUACUGGCCACUCUGGUGCCCCAGGAUGGCACAGGCAGGUCAGAACCUGGCUGUCACUCCAGGCCAGCCUUCUGCCACUGACUGGAAAGGUGGGCUCAAACACAACUGCAGUUAAAAGAGAGGAAUUGCCCCGGAGGUGAAUGCAGUCACCUGCAUAGGGGAAAAGGAGGUGAGAGGCCUGCUCUACUCCCCCUGAUCAGAUGCCAUCCAAGGGCACAUGGCUGACAUGUUUGAAGAAAAACCCAGAGUCAACUCAGAGCCCAACUCAGGCCUGAUAAAAAGUGACUAUGAUGAUGAAGAGAUUCAAAAUUAUGCUGCAGAAGGAAUGGCUGGAGGGUCUAGGCGUAUUUCACCUGGAAAGAGGAAGCUUUAAAGGAGAUGUGAGUCUUUUGUCCAAAUGUGUAGACUGACUAAAUUCUUUAAAGAGUUUUAUGUUUGUGUAUAUCUGAAGGGUCCAGAACUAGCAUCAAAGGGUAGAAUUUAGAGGGAGGAAGACUUUGGAUUAAAAUUAGGGGCCACAUACUUUCUGUGAGGGUAUCUUGAUAUUGGCUGCCCUGUCACAUUUAAGAAAGGAUGGGAUGAUCAUUCGUAAGAGAAGCUGUAGAGCUGAUCCACAAACUAAGGGAGUUCUGAAGUCUAUUCUAGUUUGGAAUUCUAUGGCUCUGCUGCAGGUGCAUCUGGUUGGCUGGAUUGAUUGCUAUCACAGGGGCAGAGGCCACUGUGUAUGAUCACUUAGGUCAGUGAAAUCAGUAGAGGCCAAGCGGCUGCACCACUGGAGGACAGCAGGUUGCCCUGAUCCUGAAUCCCUUCAACACUGGGCCUUCUCACAUCUGUUUGAGACAAGCCACUUUCAGCUGAGAUGCACUAGAUCCUUCAAGCCUCUCUACCACCCACAGGGUCACCAUCUGCUGGAGCGGCCAGUGGGGCUGCAGGUUACCCAUCAAAGCCCAAGCUAUGAAAUUGUCAUUGAGAGGAGUGCUUUAGACAUAGAGCUCAUUUGGUGGCAGAGAUCAGAAGCUUGUUCAAAGCAGCCUGGAAUUUUUAAAAGAAUAAGGGAAACAUGUAAAGGCAGCUUGCAGUCUAUCUGAGAAAACAAGACAUACCCUCAAGCAGAUAAUUGCCAUUUACAGUCAUUCCUAUGAUCUCAGCACUAUGUGGGUUUAAUCAGCCUUCUGCUAAAAGGAACCAGGUCCAAGACAUUCAGCAUGGCAUGGUAGCUAAGCAAGAUCCAGUGUCUUCAUUCAGCACUGACAGAGUCACUGUCUCUGAGCAGUACUUAGCUACAGAAACUUUGAAGCCUUCUGCAAUUUAUUAUGCUGAGUGCAUCUAAUCAACAUGUAGAAUAAAGAUGGAGCUCCAGAGAAGUUAGCACGCAAUCUGGGUGACAGGUGCUGAGCAAGGACAGCCUCUUCCCAAUACUCUCCAAGCGGCCUGCUGUUUCCAGGGAAUGAUAUUAUCAUUCUUGGCAUCUAGAACAGGACUCAAUGUAAGAUUGUCUAAGGCAGUCACUGGCUACAGUUCAUGGAAGCUUCAGGACGGCACUUGGCAUGAGCUCUCAGUGCUAUGGAAAAAAGAAGCUCUUAGGUGGAAUAUUUCUAGCUAAAAAAUGUAUAGUUUUUUUUGUUGUUGUUUCUGUUCCUUUCAUUUUUAUUUUUAGAAAUAGGAUUUCAAAGGGCAUUUGUCCUGGUCCCUCAGGAAAGAACAUUUUCUAAAGUGUUCCCAUCAACAAUGCCUCAGGUGUUACAGGUCCCUACUCUUGGCCAUCCAGCUCUGCCACCGUGCCUGGAUUCUGCAUUUUCAAAGGGACCAGCUUACCAGCAGCAUCCUCUUCCUGCUGCCUCUUGACUCACACAGAUCCCAUCAAUAAGCAUUCACUGAGGCCUGCUCUAAGUGAGGCUCUGGGGAGAGUGCUGUGGGAGCUUCAAGAGCAAUAGCAGCCCUGAGCUCCAGGAGCUUCCCCUCUGAGGUGGGGAAUUGCGAUGCAUGGAACAUCUCCAACACACAAAGCAGACUCUUGCUAGGCUUCGAACUGGAAUUGCAUUGAUCGUAUUAACUUGGGGGAGAUCUGAUAUAUUUAAAAGAAAAAAAUAAGCCGGGCAUGGCGGCUCACGUCUGUAAUCCCAGCACUUGGGGAGACUGAGGUAGGUGGAUCAUUUGAGGUCAGGAGUUUGAGACCAGCCUGGCCAACAUGGUGAGACCCCGUCUCUACUAAAAAUACAAAAAUUAGCCGGGCGUGGUGGGUGCCUGUAAGCCCAGCUACGUGGGAGGCUGAGGCAGGAGAAUCGCUUGAACUUGAGAGAUGGAGGCUGCAGUGAGCUGAGAUCAUGCCACUGCACUUCAGCCUGGGUGACAGAGUGAGACUCUGUCUCAAAAAAGAAAAAAAAAAAAAAAGAAAAAAAUAUAGGCGAUGGAACAGAAAAGUGGGCAGUGGCUAUGAAGAUGCAAUCCAAAUAUAAGGUAAUACUUAUCACCAAAGAAAUAGCAAUUAAGACAACAGUGAGACAGCAUCUUGUGUCUGUCAGAUUGGAGGAAAAAUACUAAAUUGAAUAAUGUGAAUUGUUGUUGAGGAUUGUGGAACUAGCCUUCCAUGAAACGUUUCUAGAAGUCUAAAUGAGUGUAGACACUCCAGAGAGCAAUCUGGCGGUAUUUAGCAAUCCCAUACCUGGGCAUAUAACUUGGACAAACUCUGAUUAUAACAGACUAGGCCCAAGGAUAUGUUUAUUGCAGUAUUAUUGGUGGUAGUGAUGAGUUGGAGGCAAUAUAAGUUUCUACCACAAGGAGGGUUGAUAUGAGCGUUUGAUGAAUAGUAUGCAGUAGUCAGAAUAAUAAAACAGAUGUACACUCAGCAUGGAGAAAUCUGAAUAAGAUACUGUUGGCUGAUGACAGUAAGACAUGGAUUGAGAUAUAUAGUAGAGUGUCAUUUAUAUAAAUUCAAAACACGUGCACAAGAUGAUCAUGUCUCUAGUAGCUACAAAAGUGCUUGAUACAGAGUAGGCCUUCAGUAAAUUGUUUUACUUGUUGUCAAUAAAAAUAUAUAUACUAAAUAAAUAUCUAACAUUUAUGUAAGUUAAGAAUACAUAGACAUAUACAUAUUUUAAGGGUAUAUACAAAUGCGAAACAUAAUUUAAGGGUACGGCUCUUCUGGAUAGUCCAGCGUUCAAAUGGAGUUCUCUGGAGUGAAGUAAAAUUAAUUCACAAACCUCUGUUGCAUCCAAGGUCAAAUACUCUCACGAACACCCACUCUCUGUUCCCUGGUUUAAUACUCACUGAGUAACAUUCUGAAGCCUGAGACUUUUAUACAUACCCAGUUUCCAGAAAAGGCACAAAGAAGCUUUCCCCAAAAGAAAAUACAUGAAUAUUCCAUUUAUUUAAAAACAUCCGAGCAGGUCUAAGCAAUAUAAAUUAAUAUAGCAGCAUCAGUGUCUUGUGAGUUAAGACGAGUGUCCUAAGAUUUAGUUGCUUAACUGAUUCCUCUAUGUCCCUAAAUCAAAUGAUGAAAUACAGAUUUAGGUUCCAUUUUUUUGAAAGAAUACUUCAUAGGUCAUUCUGUCUACUUCCUACUGCACCACAUUUAGGAGGGAGGCACAUCAUGUGUGGUUGUCUCUUUAGUAAUUCUGAGAUUGGUCAAGGGGUCCAGGUGGUGUCUGACCUUAUUCCAUCAUUACAAAAGAAGUCACCAUCUACUUUUUACCUAGUGGUUUCAGUAUCUUUGGAUAAUCACUGCCCGGAUUUAUCAAGGUUUGCAAAAUGAUUUUCUAAUUCUGUGGUUCCUUCUAUACACAUUAGCUGGGAUUCUUCAAAAUGUAACUUACAAAACAAACAAAAUCACUAUCAAGACUUGACAUUCCUUCUUCCAUAUCAAUUUUCAGAAUAGUGAUAAAAGUUACCAGUAAUGAUUUCUAGUGGAGACCAAUAUGUUUUUCUCAUCAUUAUAUACUUUUUUUUUUUUUUGAGACAGAGUCUUGCUCUGUCACCAGGCUAGAGUGCAGUGGUGUGAUCUCUGCUCACUGCAACUUCCGCAUCCUGGGUUCAAGCAAUUCUCCUGCCUCAGCCUCCCAAGUAGCUGGGACUACAGGUGCACACCACCACGCCCAGCUGAUUUUUGUAGUUUUAGUAGAGACAGGGUUUCACCAUAUUGGCCAGGAUGGUCUCGAUCUCUUGACCUCGUGACCUGCCCACCUCAGCCUCCCAAAGUGCUGGGAUUACAGGCAUGAGCCACUGCGCCCAGCCCAUAAAUUUUUAUAUAUUUGAUGAGGUUGAAUUAAUUGCCAUCAUUAUUCUCUUUUCUCUCUCUCUUUAGGAUCCUUAAACAGCUUAUAUUCAAUAAACUGCAUAUGUUUAAAUGGCACACUUUGUAAAGUUUGGUGAUACUGUACAGUCACAAAAGCAUAAUCAAUGUAGCAAACAUAUCUAUUGUAAUCUAAAAUGUCCUUGUGCCUUUUUUAACCUCCUGCUCCUCCUCCAUACUAUAUCCCCAGGCGACCUCUGAUUUACUUUAUGUUGGAAUUUUUGAGAAAUUCAUACAAAUGGCAUUAUUUAGUAUGUACUCUUUGUGUCUGACUGCUUUUACUCAGCAUAAUUAUUUUGAGAUUCAACAUGUUGUCUGUAUCAAUACCUUUAAUUGUCAAGUGGUAUGCUAUUGUAUGACUAUGUCACAAUUGUUUAGCCAUCGAUGAACAUUUGGGUCGUUUCCAGUUUGGGGUUACUACAAAUAAAGCUGCUAAGAACAUUUUUAUAUAAAUCUUUGUGCAGACAUAGAUUUUAUUUCUAUGGGAUAAAUACCUACUAGUGGAAAGGCUACAUCAGAUAGUAGGGUAUAUACUUAACUUUUCAAAAAAAACUGCAAAUGUGCUUUCCAUAGAAGUGCUAUUGCACAUUUCUCCUGAGCAUGAGAAUUUCAAUUCUUCCCCAUUCUCUCCAAUAUUUAGUAUGGUCAGACCUUAUAAUUUUAUCCAUUUUAAUAGGAGUAUAUUAUGGUUUGAAUGUGUCCCCUCCAAAAUUCAGGUGUUGACAUUUAAUGGCCAAUGUGAUAGUAUCAAGAGAUAGGACCUUUAAGAGGUGGUUAGGUCCUGAGGACUCCUCACUCAUGAAUGGGAUUAAGAGAUUUCGUGCAGCUUUUGACUCCCUUGCCCUUUCACCUUUCACCAUGUGAGGACACAGUGUUCCUCCCCUCCAGAGGACGCCACAACUGGGCGCCAUCUGGGAAGCAGAGGGCAGUCCUCAAUAGACAAAGGAACCUGCCAGCAUCUUGAUCUGGGACCUUGCAGCCUCCAGAAACUAUGAGAAAUACAUUUUUGUUCUUUGAUAAAUUACCCAGUCUUCUGUAUUUUGUUAUGGCAGCACAAAAAGAACUGUGACACUGUGUACAUGUACUUAAUCGUGGUUUUACAGCAGUCUCCCUUUCUCUGCUGUUUCACUUUUUUGUUGUUUGUUUGUUUUGAGAUGGAGUCUCGUUCUUGUCGCCCAGUCUGGAGUGCAAUGGCGUGAUCUCGGCUCACCGCAACCUGUCCUCCUGGGUUCAAGCAAUUCUUCUGCCUCAGCCUCCGAAGUAGCUAGGCUUACAGACACGUGCCACCACACCCUGCCAAUUUUUGUAUUUUUAGUAGACAGGCUGUUAGGCAGGCUGGUCUUGAACUCCUAACCUCAGGUGAUCCGCCCACCUUGGCCUCCCAAAGUGCUGGGAUUACAGGCAUGAGCCACCGCACCCAGCAUGCUGAUUCACUUUCUGCAGUUUCAGUUACCCACAGUCAACCAUGGGCCAGAACAUAGUUACACUGCCACAAGUUGUGGAUGGGAGGGCUGGAUUUCCUGAACCCUUCCCAGCAUUGCUCGAGUUUCUUGGUUCCUCCGCUAGAGAAGAGGAGCCCCAGAGCUCUGUAGGCUCCAGAAAAGUGCCCAAAUCAUAAGCAGACAUCUCAUUGGAUUUACUGAGCACACCCAGGUAUCCACCACCCAAGGGAAGCAACGAAGGUGACCCCACCCAGCAUUUACCCUGUGUCCCUAUCUUGGACAUUGAUUCUGCUCCAGAGGUCACAAUCUCAUGCCGCCAAUUGCCAUAGAUUCGUUUUGCUUGGUCUUAAACUUUAUAUAAAUGGUAAGUUGCAAAAAGUGGAAACUUUCGUUACUGGAUUCUUUUGUUGGCCUUAUGCUUGUAAGAUGCGUCCACAAUGUUAAGAUACAUUUCUUGCAAUAAUUUGUAGAAUUUACAUCUUUACAAUGUUCAACAUUCCCAUUCAGAAUCAUGAUAUAGAUCUUCAUUUAAUCAAAUCUGUGCAUGUGUUAGAAAAUUCAAAGAGUGUAUUUUUAUAGUAUUGUAACUUGGUAAUUUAUGGCUUUAGUUGCUAUUGAGAGUAAAUUUUCCAGCAUAUUUUUAAACUGGUUCUUGCUGAUAAAAUACCCGGUGAUUAAAAUAUAUGUAUAUAGUUGUCGUUUUACAUAUAAAAUAUUUUAAUCAGCUUGUCUUUGAUUACUGGUAAAGUGAGCACAUUUCCAUGUGUUUAUUGGCCACAUUAAUUUUUACCUUUUAAUUGCUGCUACUGCUGCUUCUGCUUCUUCUUCUUGUUCUUCCUAGUUAUUCUUGUUAAUUUUAACAAUUCUUUAUAUUUUAAGGAUAUCUUUGGAAUAUGUUGUGAAAGUAUUUUCCCAGUUUAUCUUUUUUUCUUAACUUGUUGCUAUUUUUUGACGUAUUUUAAAAUAUGUGCAGAGGCAAAUCAAUCAUUUGUUUAUUUUGUGAUACCUUCUUUGCAUUUAUUUUUAGAACACUUUUUAUUAAAUGACUUAUCUUCCCUUCCUUUUUUUGAGGUAAUGUCUCUAUUGUAUACUAUAUAUAUUUGUAUCUAUUUCUGGACUUUAUAUUUUAUUCCAUUGAUAUGGCUAGGUAUAGAAUUGUACAAUUUAAAUUAUUAUAGCUCUAUAAAGCAUUUUGAUUUUUUUCAACGUGAGUCAUUUUUCCUUAUUCUGCUUUUCCAAACAAUUUUGGUUGUUCUCAUUUUUUCUUGCAAAUAAAAUAUAUGUAUCAUUUCACUGAAUUCCAAACAAAUAAAAUCUCUUCAGAUUUUGAAUUGGAAUUGCAUUAAAUGUGUAAAUUAUCUCCAAAAAGUUUACAUCUUCCCAUUAUUUGUCCUCCUAUCCAGGAAAUUAUACAUCUUUUUAUUUGUUCAAAUAUUCUUUUCUGCCCCUUAUUAAAUUUUUAACUUUUCUUUGGGUGCACUUUUCUUGUUAGGUUUAUUUGUAUGAAUUUUAUAUUGUUUUGUUAUUUUAAAUUUAAAUACUCUUUUAAAUGUGUUGUUAGUUGGUUAUUAGUGGUGUGUAGGAAAAGUAUUUCUUAUAUUGCUAUAAUAAUGAUAGUUAAACUUUAUAGAGUGAAACAAGGAAAGACAGUGUAACACAGGUGGUUAGGAGAAAGGGUUUUGGAGUCAGAUUACCUGGAUUCAAAUGCCAGUCCUAUUACUAGGUGUAUGACAUUGGGCCUUGGUGUCCUCAUUUGUACAAUGGGGGUGAUACAAUUCUUGCUUCAUAGGAUGCAUAUAAAGUGAUUAGGUUAUACUCAAGUUUCUUUGGACAGACUAAUCAUAUAACUUACAAGUAAUAAUUUUAUCCUUUUUGAUGUUUUUACUGUUUUUCUGUAUGUCUUAUAAUGGGAAUUUCUAGGAAAAUGUUUACCAACAUUUGUGGUAAUUAACAUCCUCAACUGUUUCCUGAUUUUAACGAGAACAUCUUUAUUAUUUCAUUGUUAACUAUGAUGGUGGGUAUUUGUUAAUUAAUAGGUCUUAUUGGGAAUGAAUGUUGAAUUUUACCACAUGCCUUUUUAGUAUUUAUUGCGAUAAUCAUUUUUCCUUUCUCAAACCUUUCUGUGUGAUACUUUGUAUUAUUAGUUUUCUCACAUUGAUCCAUCAUUGCAUUUUAGUAAUCAAAUAUCCUUGGUAUGAUAUAGUCUUCUUCUAAUAUAUUGCUGGAUUUGAUUUGCUAAAACAUUUUAAAGCUUUUUCUCCAUACUUGUAAGCUAUAUUAGUGUCAGUUGCCUCCUUUGCCCUAGGUUCAUCAGACUUGUUAACAAGAUUACAAGUUUAUAAGUUAAUUUGGAAUUUAUAAGUAGAUUUGGAAAGAUUUACAUAUAUUGCUGUGUUCUGCAAUAAUUUGUUUAGAAUGGGAAUUAACUUUUUGUUGAAGGUUUGAAAAAACUCACCCAUAAACAAACUACACACAAAAUUCAACUUUAUGCUGUCUACAAGAGGCAUACUAACUCAUAAAAAUUAAAAGACUGACCCAGAAAACACAGCAAAAAGAAAAAUAUCACGAAAUGAUUGUCAGUCCAAUUAAAAUUCAAGACUGGAAGAAUUCAUGGGUCAGAGAAGCAGGCAGGCUAGGCUGGCCCACUUUAGCCUAAAUCCCGGGAUCCAGCAAGCAUUCAUCUCACAUAGCUCGGGUUUUACUGAGUUGGUUCCUCUGCCUGCUUCUCUGACUUGUUUACCCGUGGAGUACACGAGAACUACAACCCCCAGCAUGCACUGCGCUGGUACAAGUGGAUCUGCUCGGCACCUAUAACCUAAUUACCUCUCAGGCUCACACAAGUCUCUGGCCGCUAAGCGAAUGAUCUCCCAAAGGGAUUAUUCUCAAGCAGCACAGAAACUGUCCCUAUGCCUCAGGUGGCCCCAGAACUCUUUCGUACUAGAGACUUAUCUGUUAAUAAAGUUAACAAAGGAAAGUGGCCUUCCAAGAAUGUUUGUUUGGGCCACUACCUGGAAGAAAUAACACUUGACCAUGAGAGACUUGGCUGAGCAGUGCUGGGUCAGCUUAACCAAAGAAGACCAGCCAUCACCCACGGCAAGAGCAGCUCUGACUUGGACCCACUGUUCCCCCAGCCUGUUAGCAGCCUGUGAACAAUCUUUAAGUGACCCCUGGCCCUGUCACAUCUCCAUUCAACAGGGUUCUUGGGGAGGAUGUGUGGACCGAGAACAGUGCCCACCCACACCACCUGUAAGUGUGGCCACGGCAGCCAGCCAGCAUGGAUGCUAAGUAACAAGUGGUAUUGGGGCACAGAUGUGGCGGGAGCGCUUUGGGGCAAAGAAAGAGGUGCUGUGAGUGAGGACAGAAAGGAAGGGGAAAAAAAAGCCUCAUGGGUUAGAGCGCCUCUCACCUUUGGCUCUUCUUCAGAAGACUGGUAAAAGAAAACAAGAAGAGAAAUUGGUUUCCCUGACUUCUCUAAAGCAAGCGUUCUUCAGAAAAGAGAAUCGAUCAGCCUGGUUAAAGUGGAUAAACUAUGUGAUGUCCAUCCAGAGAGGUGUCUAUUAAUGGCUGUAAAAUGGAAAGAUGAAUCAAUGGGACCGAUUAAUAUUUAUGAAGAGUUGAACUAGGCAGAGUGAAAAAGCCUUGUAUAUUGGAUAAGAAAGGAAAAGCAUUGCACACCAUAGGAUGCGUUUGUUUGGCUAAGGUUUCUGUUUUGAUCACUGGGUAAUUGUAUAGAGCAGGGGCGUAUGGUAGAGAAAGAAAAUCUAUAUCUAGAAGUUAUUGACUUUAUGUACAAAAGCACUGGUUGGUGCCUAUUUUUGAGGACCACUCCAUCUUAAAAAUAACUUUGGUUUUGUACGGCCUAGUUGUGGUGGAAAAGGAGCUCCAAAGAGUAAGCAAGUUUCCUACAAAAAGAAUCCAAGCUGUUGAAACUACAAUUAAGAAAUGCAAAGAGUUACUAAUUUUACUACUUAGAGGAAAGGAAAUUCACAAGCAGGAAAGAAACUGUGGAUCAGGGCAAGUUGUAACUCUAGAGGUUCAGAGAUAGGAGCUCUAAUUACACCAGGGCAAGGGAGUACUGUUUGGGGAAAUUUCUGAAACAUGAAAUAGGAAAGCUGAGGGUCAAAAUGAUAUUGUGAUGUGAAUAAAUAGAGAAGACAUGUUUGCAUGGAGCUCAGCUGGGUAAUCAUGGAAAGAAGGAGGGGCGAAGGAGGAAACUGAAAAUCGAAAUAAAGAACAGAAGCACAGACCAUGAAAUAUGCCAAAUAUAGUGUGCAAAUACUCAGAAGGCAUGGAAAGAUAAGUUAGAAGCCAAAACUCAGUUAUCACUAUCGUGUGAAGGAACAAUAAAACUCUUAGCAAAAACAAAUGACUUAGCAUGAGACCAAUACUGCUUUCCUUAGGUAGCUUGGUCCAGAGGGAAAAGGCUGAUAUCACUCCCUAUCAAGGGUUUUUAGACGGUUUAAGUGAGCUCUGCAAGUGGGAGACACGGUGAUGAUUAUUGACAGUUGCUAUCUUUCAAGGGGGAGAAGCAAACUGAUGUUACACAUUAGAAUUAGUUAGCACCACCGAACACAGGUUACAAAAAUACUGGGAGGAAUUCUCUCUCCUGAGCACAUUACGCAAUAUUUGCAAAUGUGUGCAGGUAAGUGUUGACUCUCUCAUCAUGCUGGACCUGGAAAUGGUUCUCAGCAAAUCAUGGCAUGAUUUCUUUUUCAAAGUUGGGUACACGAAUAUUAUCGUAACCAGCUAAGAGCAGGGAGACGUGGCAUGGGAGACUAACAGAUAGUGCAGCUUUUAAGAGAAGACGUAGAAAUCAAUCUAGUAACAAAUAUUUAUUAAGCAUUGGAGUGUGCUAGGCACCAAGAGAAAAGAAACCUCCACAGCUGAUAAAGCCUUUCAAAAUAAUGUCCUCAGUUAAUUUGCACAUUUCCAUGAGGUAGGUGUUGUUAGCCAUUUCCGUUAAUGAGAAAAAAAAAAAUGAGAUUCAGAAAGGUUAAUUAAAUUGGAGAUCUCCUGAUUUUUUAGUUUUAUAUCCUUCCCGUGUCCUUUCCAGGCUUAUAUUCUGGUCCUAUCACUUCUCAGCUGAGUUACUUCAACAAGUUAUUUAUUCUCUGUGUUCCCAGCUGUCAAAAUGAAAAUGCCAGUACCCACCUGGUAAGGAGUGAGAGAACAUUUAUAAAAAUGCUCGGCUGGGUACCUGACACAUAGGAGGUCCUCAGUAAAUUUGUUUUCUCCCUUUCUUCCUGAAGUACGGUGGCAGAGGGAUUCAGCCAGCCAGCCUGGGUAGCACAAGCCAUGAUGCCCUGCUGAAUCUGUGUUCUAGGGUCGGACAGGGGGAGUCCUUUUGCCUAGAGGGAUGGUGUGCGAGGCCUAAGAGGACUUGGGCAGAGUCUUGAAGGACGAGCAGGAUUUGCUGUGGUGGAGAGGUGGUCACGGGUUGAGCAGAUAGGAGAACCAAGGAAUCAAGGCAGGGAAAGAGAGGGGAUGCAUGUGAAGGGCCAGGAGCUGUUAACUAGUUUGCUAAGCAGCAGGCGAGGAUUUAGAAGGAGUUGGAGAAGUGUGGAGGGAGCUGAGGCUCUUGUGAGGGGAACUUUUAUGCUAAGGGUUCCAACUUGGCCCUGUGAAUGAAGGUGAGCUGGGGAAGGUUUGUGAACUUGGAGUCUCACCUGUAAAAGAUUAAUCUGGUGCCAGUGUACAGAAUGGACCGUCAAGGAAGAGGUGGAAAAACAAGGAAAAUUUGUAUUUUAUAGACACACACACACAUAGACACAGAGCCCUUUUUAUUAGAAAACAUAUAAUCAACUUAACCCCAUUUUAAAUGGCUUGGACAUUAAUUUUACUCUUGUAAUUGAUUAUAGAGGUUUAAAACUGUUGUGUUUUUGCCUUUGUGACAUAUUAUGGCUGUAUCUAAAAUUUAUUUGAUGUUAAAUCAAGAACAAAACUCUUCAAUUCUAUUGUUGUUCCUAAGGUAAAAUAUAAUCUACUUUGAGUCAAUUCACUGUGUCAUAAACUUUCCAGGAAUGGGAAACUUGAUAAAAAGCAGAGACUCACUGCAUAUGACAAUAAUUAAAUCUAUAUUCAACAAGUAUAAAAGAAUGGUUGUAGGGGUGAGCAAUUUGGAAGAAAAAAAGCCACUUGACUUAAAUAUGACAGAAAAUCAUACUGAGGUCUGACACCCCAUGACCUUUUUUGAGAUUUGAGGUUAUGCCAUGUAUUUGAGAAUAAAUAAAAUCCAUUUAAGUGUCUAUAUUAUUAAAUGAAUCGUAUUUUCAGAAAGCAUUAGAUAAAGUCUGUUUUAGACCUUGGAAUCCAUUUUUCUCAUGAACACAAUAUCGUAAAUAGAUGAGAAUUGAGUUCCCAGUCUAUAAAACCCUUAUUAAAUCAUCAUGUAGCUGAACUAUUCUAUAUUGGCAAUCAAUAGAGUUGAGUAAUCUUUUCAUAGUCACAGUGAUAAAAAAACAAAAAAUAUUGAAGAAGUAAUUUUUCAAAAAAUAGAGGUAUAGCACGUUUAAUUAUGGAUUAAGAGGCCGAUAAAUAAUUUUGUGGUGAUUCUGAAGAGACUAUCUGGGCACUUUCAAAAGCUUUAGAGUUGAUAAACUGUUCUUAUUAUGUCUAAUUUAAUAUUCAAAAUUUAUGACCAUUCAUUCAUUCAUCAAACAUAACUUAGAUAUCUACAAUAGGUAUUGUGCUAGCCGCUGGAGAUUUCAAUGUAAUGAAACAGUUCCUAACUUAAAGAAAAGCAGCACUUGAAAUUUUACUAAUGCAUUCAGUCAUUUACUUAACAGAUACUGAAUGUUUGCUACCGUGAGUCUAUUAUUCCUAUGCGUAUCAACUCCCAGGAAGCAUGUGUAGCUCGCUGAUGGAAUACAGAGAAAUAUUCCUGAGAGAAUACCAAAAAUAGUCCGUUUGUGCUACUAAAACAAAAUGGCUGAGACCGAGUAGCUAGCUUAUAAAGAACAGAAAGCUAUUUUCUCACAGUUCUGGAGGCUGGGAAGUCCAAGAUAAAAGCACCAACGGGUUUGGUUGUCUGGCAAAGGCUUCUCUCUGUUUCCAAGAUGGUGCCUUGUUGCUGUGUCCUCCAGAGGGAAGGAAUGCUGUGUCUUCACAUGGCAGAAGGCUGAAGGGCAAGUGAGCUAACACUGUGUGAAGCUUAUUUUAUAAGGACCUUAAUCCCAUUCAAGAGGGAG